rnacentral:rRNA from 1 species
UGUUUUGUAAGUCAGAUGUGAAAGCCCCGGGCUUAACCUGGGAACUGCGUCUGAAACUACAAGGCUAGAGUAUGGCAGAGGGGGGUGGAAUUCCGCGUGUAGCAGUGAAAUGCGUAGAUAUGUGGAGGAACACCGAUGGCGAAGGCAGCCCCCUGGGUCAAUACUGACGCUGAGGGACGAAAGCAUGGGGAGCAAACAGGAUUAGAUACCCUGGUAGUCCAUGCCCUAAACGAUGUCAACUAGUUGUCGGGCCUUUACGGGCUUGGUAACGUAGCUAACGCGUGAAGUUGACCGCCUGGGGAGUACGAUCGCAAGAUUAAAACUCAAAUGAAUUGACGGGGACCCGCACAAGCGGUGGAUUAUGUGGAUUAAUUCGAUGCAACGCGAAAAACCUUACCUACCCUUGACAUGUAUCGAAACCCGCAGAAAAGCGGGGGUGCCCGAAAGGGAACGAUAACACAGGUGCUGCAUGGCUGUCGUCAGCUCGUGUCGUGAGAUGUUGGGUUAAGUCCCGCAACGAGCGCAACCCUUGUCAUUAAUUGCCAUCAUUUAGUUGGGCACUUUAAUGAGACUGCCGGUGACAAACCGGAGGAAGGUGGGGAUGACGUCAAGUCCUCAUGGCCCUUAUGGGUAGGGCUUCACGCGUAAUACAAUGGCGCGUACAGAGGGUUGCCAACCCGCGAGGGGGAGCUAAUCUCAGAAAGCGCGUCGUAGUCCGG